rnacentral:tRNA from 1 species
GCCGAUUUAGCUCAGUGGUAGAGCAACGGUUUUGUAAACCGUAGGUCGUCGGUUCAAGCCCGACAAUCGGCUCCA